rnacentral:sRNA from 1 species
CGGGUUCUGCUCUUCUCGUGCCAAGGGGUCAAAUUCCAGAGGCCUUAAGCAAUUCCACGGGAGCUGGCUCUGUUCGGACCCUGGUUCGAUUACCUGGCGCCCACCUGUAUACACAGGUCCCCGGGAAUUCUCACCCCUACGGUCGCUGCGGUUCCCGC